CCUACGGGAGGCAGCAGUGAGGAAUAUUGGUCAAUGGUCGGGAGCCUGAACCAGCCAAGUCGCGUGAAGGAGGAAGGUCCUACGGAUUGUAAACUUCUUUUAUCAGGGAAUAAAGUCAGGCACGUGUGCCUGUUUGUGUGUACCUUAUGAAUAAGCAUCGGCUAACUCCGUGCCAGCAGCCGCGGUAAUACGGAGGAUGCGAGCGUUAUCCGGAUUUAUUGGGUUUAAAGGGUGCGUAGAUGGUUUUUUAAGUCAGCUGUGAAAGUCUGAGGCUCAACCGUAGAAUUGCCGUUGAUACUGGCAGUCUUGAGUACGGGUGAGGUAUGCGGAAUGCGUGGUGUAGCGGUGAAAUGCAUAGAUAUCACGCAGAACUCCGAUUGCGAAGGCAGCAUACUAGCCCGACACUGACACUGAGGCACGAAAGCGUGGGUAUCAAACAGGAUUAGAUACCCUAGUAGUC
rnacentral:rRNA from 1 species